rnacentral:tRNA from 1 species
UGCUGACUUAGCUCAGCAGGCAGAGCAACUGACUUGUAAUCAGUAGGUCGUAGGUUCGAUUCCUAUAGUCAGCACCAU